GAUGAACGCUGGCGGCGUGGAUAAGGCAUGCAAGUCGAACGGAUCAUUUAUUUCCGGAGAUGAGAUUACAUCAAGUCAAAGGUCGUUUAUGAUUAGUGGCGAACGAGGUAGUAACACGUAGGAAUGUACCCCAGAGUCUGGCAUAAUUCACCGAAAGGUGGACUAAUUCCAGAUGGUCUCGUAAGAGUAAAGUCGCAAGACGCUCUGGGAACAGCCUGCGGGAUAUCAGCUAGUUGGUAAGGUAAUGGCUUACCAAGGCAAUGACGUCUAGGGGAGGUGAGAGCCUGGCCCCCACCGAUGGUACUGAGACACGGACCAUACACCUACGGGUGGCUGCAGUCGAGAAUCUUCCACAAUGGGCGAAAGCCUGAUGGAGCGACGCCGCGUGGUUGAUGAAGACCUUCGGGUCGUAAAGAUCUUUUAUAGGGGAGGAAACCAUGCUUUUGCAUGGCUGACGGUACUCUAUGGAUAAGGGGUUGCUAAACUCGUGCCAGCAGCAGCGGUAAUACGAGUGCCCCGAGCGUUAUCCGAAAUUAUUGGGCGUAAAGGGUGUGUAGGCGGCGAUGUUAGUCUUUUGUUAAAACUCUUGGCUUAACCAAGAAGGUGCGAAAGAAACGGCAUUGCUUAGAGAAUGCGAGAGGUAUGCGGAACUCAUAGUGUAGGGGUGAAAUCCGUUAAUAUUAUGGGGAACACCAAAGGCGAAGGCAGCAUACUGGCGUAUUUCUGACGCUGAAACACGAAAGCGUGGGUAGCGAAUGGGAUUAGAUACCCCAGUAGUCCACGCCCUAAACGAUGAUCACUCGCUAUUCGGAGUAUCGACCCUCUGAGUGGCUUAGCUAACGCGAUAAGUGAUCCGCCUGGGAAGUACGGCCGCAAGGCUAAAACUCAAAGGAAUAGACGGGGACUCGCACAAGCAGUGGAUCAUGUGGUUUAAUUCGACGGUAAACGAAGAACCUCACCAGGGUUAGAAAUCCAAACGACGAUACGCAGAAACGUGUAUCUUCCGCAAGGACGGUUGGACAGGUGAUGCAUGGCUGUCGUCAGUUCGUGGUUUGAAUUGUUCCCUUAAGUGGGGUAACGAACGCAACCCUUGUCGUCUGUUAUACGUGUCAGGCGAGACUGCCAGACUCUGUCUGGAGGAAGCGAGGAUGACGCCAAGUCAGCAUGUCCCUUUGAUACCCUGGGCUACACACAUGAUACAAUGGCAUCUACAAAGAGCAGCGAUACCGAAAGGUGGAGCAAAUCUCAAAAAGGUGCCUCAGUUCGGAUUGAAGUCUGCAACUCGACUCCAUGAAGUUGGAAUUGCUAGUAAUCGCAGGUCAGCUAUACUGCGGUGAAUACGUUCUCGAGUCU
rnacentral:rRNA from 1 species